rfam:Picea glauca, whole genome shotgun sequence.
GUGCAUACCUACAACAUAGCAUUAAUGCACAAGAUCCCAUUAGAACAUUUUAGUUAAGCGUACUUGGGAUAGAGUAGUAUUGGGAUGGAUGAUUGCCUGGGAAGUCCUAGUGUUUUACAUG